AUUGAACGCUGGCGGCAUGCUUUACACAUGCAAGUCGAACGGUAACAGGCCUUCGGGUGCUGACGAGUGGCGGACGGGUGAGUAAUGCAUCGGAACGUACCCAGAGGUGGGGGAUAACGCAGCGAAAGCUGUGCUAAUACCGCAUGUGAUCUGAGGAUGAAAGCGGGGGACCGAGCAGCAAUGUUUGGCCUCGCGCCUUUGGAGCGGCCGAUGUCGGAUUAGCUAGUUGGUGGGGUAAAGGCCUACCAAGGCGACGAUCCGUAGCUGGUCUGAGAGGACGAACAGCCACACUGGGACUGAGACACGGCCCAGACUCCCACGGGAGGGAGCAGUGGGGAAUUUUGGACAAAGGGCGCAAGCCUGAUCCAGCAAUGCCGCGUGAGGGAAGAAGGCCUUCGGGUUGUAAACCGCUUUUGGCAGGAACGAAACGGUGUCCGCUAAUACCGGGCGCUAAUGACGGUACCUGCAGAAUAAGCACCGGCUAACUACGUG
rnacentral:rRNA from 1 species